rnacentral:rRNA from 1 species
GACGAACGCUGGCGGCGUGCUUAACACAUGCAAGUCGAACGGAAAGGCCCUGCUUUUGUGGGGUGCUCGAGUUGCGAACGGGUGAGUAACACGUGCGUAACCUGCCCUUGACUUUGGGAUAACUUCAGGAAACUGGGGCUAAUACCGGAUAGGAGCUCCUGCUGCAUGGUGGGGGUUGGAAAGUUUCGGCGGUUGGGGAUGGACUCGCGGCUUAUCAGAUUGUUGGUGGGGUAGUGGCUUACCAAGGCUUUGACGGGUAGCCGGCCUGAGAGGGUGACCGGCCACAUUGGGACUGAGAUACGGCCCAGACUCCUACGGGAGGCAGCAGUGGGGAAUAUUGCACAAUGGGCGGAAGCCUGAUGCAGCAACGCCGCGUGCGGGAUGACGGCAUUCGGGUUGUAAACCGCUUUCGCCUGUGACGAAGCGUGAGUGACGGUAAUGGGUAAAGAAGCACCGGCUAACUACGUG